AACGAACGCUGGCGGCAGGCCUAACACAUGCAAGUCGAACGCUCCGCAAGGGGAGUGGCGCACGGGUGAGUAACACGUGGGAACCUACCUUCUGGUACGGAACAACCAAGGGAAACUCUGGCUGAUACCGUAUACGACCUCCGGGUGAAAGAUUGAUCGCCGGAAGAGGGGCCCGCGUCCGAUUAGGUAGUUGGUGAGGUAACGGCUCACCAAGCCUGUGAUCGGUAGCUGGUCUGAGAGGANGACCAGCCACACUGGGACUGAGACACGGCCCAGACUCCUACGGGAGGCAGCAGUGGGGAAUAUUGGACAAUGGGCGCAAGCCUGAUCCAGCCAUGCCGCGUGAGUGAUGAAGGCCUUC
rnacentral:rRNA from 1 species